rnacentral:sRNA from 1 species
AACUGAGGUUCCCUCCUUACAGAUGACUCUAGCUUGUAUCAAGUUGAUAUAAACCUAGGCAACCCACCAAGUGACCCUGGCAUGUUCCCUGACAUGUGAUGUUAUCUACUAAAGGGUCCUCCCCAGCACCAAGUAUAAACCUUUGUGAUGCCCUUGAAUCUCUAGAACACUGAACAAAACAAUCCUCUCUUCUUUAUGAACUGUCCCAGCCUUGGAUGUGUUGUUAGAGUAACAGAGACUAGACAAACAUUGUUACCUCUCUGCUACCUUAGAGAUGAUCUUUUAGGAACUCAGCAGAAAGAGAAGGGCUUUGUGGCAGUGGGGUUACAGAGCUCUUUCAAGGGACACAGGUCACAAUGUGUCAUGGUGCUUUCCACAGCCCUGACUACCAACAGAAGCUCCUAGCAAAUAAUUAGGGGGUGUGAGAGCGUGUGUGUGUGUGUGUGUGUGUGUGUGUGUGUGUGUGUGUGUGUUCACAGGAGAAGUAAGGAAACAAGCUCUUCCAGAGCUGGGCCGGGCAACUGGAGAGAGAUCUGAUUGUUCCUGGAUCAUACAGGCUGCUGUGGUAACAGAAAGAGACCAGACAAUCUUCUAGAAGAGGAAACUCUUCCAACCAUGGUGCCACAUUCUGUAAGCAUAGUGGAGGGAGAAGGAUAUUCAGUCAAAACGUGAAACAGUGGGAAGUUGGCAGCUGUCCCUGUCCCUCAGUGUAUAAUGUGCUGACAGGCCUGGGGUCAACCUCUGCACCGCAGAAAGCCAUCAAUCCCCUCCUAGACAAAAUCAGCAACAAACUGAUAAGGGAUGGAGUGGUGCUCAGAGCCAUUUGAAUUCACUACCUGUGACCUGGCCUAGCUCUGGGACUGAUAGAAACCUCUCAGGGGCGGGGAAUAGCAGUGACCUAGUAAGAUGCUUCUUACACAGUGACCUGGAUUCAAGCUCAGUCCUCUCUUUCUGGAUUCUUCCUAAAAAACAAAGAGGCUGAGGGAGAUGAUCUUUGCCUGUCUUCUAACAUUUGAAUCCUGAGAUUUCUAGGCACCAAAAAGCUCUGAGAGAUUAAAGGCUGCUUUUGGUAAACAUGCUCCAUCUGAGUCUUCGCCAUCUUCCCAGAAGCCUGAGAAAAGGAGAAGACUGCACUCCAUUUCUAAAGGGGUCUCAUAGUCUCUCAUAGAGACCCCACACUCUCUAUGAAGCUGAAGAUAAACUUCAAUUUCUGUUCCUCCUGCUUCUGCCUCCUGAGAGCUGAGAUUACAGGUAUGUCUUACCAUACCCUGCUAGUACAAUGAUGGAGACUAGACCCAGCUGGGGCUUCAUACAUGCUAGGCAAACCCUCUAUCCAAUGAGCCACAUCCUCAGCAUGAGAUGAAUUCUUAAAAUAUGGCUAUCCAUUAGAACUGACACCUCUCAAGCCCACCUCUUUCAACAUAUAUUUCAGCAAUUUUCUUGUAGUUGAACAAGGGCUGUAGAGCCAUCUACAAGCCACACUGAAAACAUUUCCAUCUCCCAGAUGACCUGUGCCCACUUACUUCCCCAGAUCUAUGCAGUCACUAAUUUGUUUUCUGCAUUUCCAAUCUCCUUUUGCCUUUUCUGAGCAUUCCAUAUGAAUGGAAUCAUGUCACUUGUGGUCUUGUGUGCAUAGCGUCUCUUCUUGGCAUCAUUCUUGGAAGCUCUUCUACAUGGCAUCACGUAUCAAUAUGUGUCAGUUCUUUUUUUCUUUUUUUCUUUCAGAAAAACAACUUACUACAUGUGAAGACAUUUUGCUUGUCUGGUUAACAGAGACUUAGGUUGUUUUAUUUAGCACUAGUGAUGCUGACAUGAACACUUGUGCAUGUCUUUUUUUUUUUUUUCUUCAUUUCUCUUGGGGAGAUGCCUGGAGAAAGAUUUAUGUGUAGGAUGGUGUGAUGGUUAUCUCUGCUGAAAUUGACACAACUUAGAAUCACUCAGGAAUAGACUCUAAAUGAAGGACUGUCUGCAUUAGGUUGGUCUGUGAAUGAUUGUCUUAAGUUGAUUGAUGUGGGCAUUGUGGGCAGCAUCAUUCCCUAGGCAGGAGAUCUUAGAGCAUAUAAGAGAGGAGAAAUCAAGCUGAGUACAAGCAAGCAAGUAGCAAGCAAGCAUGCAGGCAUCUAUUUCUCUUAGCUAUUCACUGCUAAUGGGAUGUGACUAGCUGUUUGAAGCUCCUUCCUUGACUUCUAUACAGUGAUGGACUAUAAUCUGGAAUUAUAAGAUGAAAUAUAGUCCUUGCCUGGGGUGUGGUAUGGAUGAAUCAAGAUGACUUCAUACCUGAAGCCCUAAUCCACAAUGGAUUGGUAUUUGGAUGUAAUCACUUUUUAGGAGGUGGUAAAAGGGCAAGGUAGAGUCCUGGUGGGGGAGAUUAUUAUCCUUGUAAGAGACACAUAAAAACUUACUCUUCAACCUUCCCUUUUUAUCAAGAGAGAGCUCCUUAUAAAUCAGGAAGUGGGUUUUCUCCAGACACCAAAUCUGCAUGUGAGUUGAAUUUAGAGGUCUAGCUUACAUAUCUAUGAGAAUAAAUGUUUGUGUCAGCCACCCAGGUGAUGGGAUUAUUGCUCCAGAGGCCUAGUCAGACUCAUGUAUAGAACAAUUAGACCCUAGUUUGUGGCAAUAUUUUGGGAAGCUGUUGAGCAUAUGAGAAGUGGGGCUAGGCUAGCAGAAGGGUGGGUCUUUGAAGGUUAUAUGCCACCCUGGCUCUGACGUAAUGUCUCUGUUUAUUGAUCUACCAAUGCAAAGAGCCUCUGUCACACACUGCCACCACCACAAAUGGAGCCUUUCUGUCCUGCCUUUCCCAGCACAGUGGGCUGGAACUGUAAGUCAAAACAAUCCUUUCCUCCCUUGGGUCACUUCUACUAGGCCUUUUGGUCACAGUGGCACAAAAUAAUAGUACAUAGCCCAAGCUGACUAAGACAGAUGCCAAGGCUGGCAUCUGUCAAUGCUGUCCCAAUAUGGCUAUGAAUGUGACAGUCUCCAAUACCCCUUCCUUUUACCUGGCCAUUUAUACAGUCCUCUUCCCCAGAGAGAAGAAGGGAUGAAAAAAUAACCCUAGGAUAGAUUAUGACCAUGUUUUAGUGGCCCUUGGGACAGUCAUGAGUCAUAGAAAUACUGAAAAGAUGAAGCCCAUAUUAAUCUGUCUUUUAUUUUCUGGUGCUUUUGAUGACCUGGAGAGACAACUUCUGCUACAGCGGGCCAUUUCUCAAAGAGAACAUGUUCUUCAAAGGCAGAUUGACCUUGCUGAGGCUCACAACCUCAAACACCUCUCUUAGAAGACUGAGCACUCUCCCUGAUGGAAUCAUUGUUCUGGUUCGUAUUUGGCUCCUGUGGUAAAAAUCAGCCUGGGGAGGAAAGGAUUUAUGUGGUUUAAAGGUUACUGUCUAUCACUGAAGAGAGCCAAGUCAAAGAUUCAAGGCAGUUGCUUGAAGCUGAAAAGCACGGAGGAAAACUGCUUAUUGGCUUGCUCAGCCGCCUUUCUUAUGCAGCUCAGUGCCUCCUGCCUAGGAAGGACACUGCCUACAGUGGGCUGGGAUCUCUUUUAUCAGUUAGCAAGUAAGAAAAUACCUGUGCACGGCUGCUCAGAUGUCAAUCUGAUGAAGGCAGUUCCUCCAUUGAGAUGCCCUCUUUCCCGGUUGUCUAUGUUUGUUUCCAGUUUACAAAGACAAACUAUGACAAGCAUGGCAGAGGGGUGGGUUUGCCAGCAUCCAUAAGAACUGUGUAAGCCAGUCGAUCUUAACCCUGUCUGCAUGCUUGCCUUGCCGUCCCCUAUAUGGGAAAACCAUGAUGGAGAGGGCUUUCUCAAAAUCUGUGGUCGAAACUUAAUGGAGUUUGGAGGUGGGGCCUGUGGAGAUAAUGGGGGUUAGAUGAGAUUGUGAGGGCAGGGCCUCUGUGAUGACAUUAAUGGAUUUAUAAAAAUAGUGUCAUGGUGUGACAUGCUUUUGCCGUGUUCUCUGCCUCCAGAACCAUGAGCCAAAGAGAUCUUUACCCAUCACAAUUACUGGGACUGUGGUAUUUAGUUUUAGUAACAACAAGUACAUCAAGACUCAAUGCUUCUUCUGCCUCCUUCCCUCUGCCUCAUGAUCUGCCACCGUGUCUUUGUGUGACCCUUCCUGGUAUGCAGUGCUUUGUGUUUGACAUAAAAGCUUGUUUG